rnacentral:rRNA from 1 species
UUUCCCAAGGAAGAUAAUGACGGUACUUGAGGAAUCAGCAUCGGCUAACUCCGUGCCAGCAGCCGCGGUAAUACGGAGGAUGCAAGCGUUAUCCGGAAUAAUUGGGCGUAAAGCGUUCGUAGGUGGUGAUGUAAGUCUGCUGUUAAAGCGUGUAGCUUAACUACAUAUAGGCGGUGGAAACUACAUGACUAGAGUGCGUUCGGGGCAGAGGGAAUUCCUGGUGUAGCGGUGAAAUGCGUAGAUAUCAGGAAGAACACCGGUGGCGAAGGCGCUCUGCUAGGCCGUAACUGACACUGAGGGACGAAAGCUAGGGGAGCGAAUGGGAUUAGAUACCCCAGUAGUCCUAGCUGUAAACGAUGGAUACUAGGCGUUGUCUGUAUCGACCCGGACAGUGCCGUAGCUAACGCGUUAAGUAUCCCGCCUGGGGAGUACGCACGCAAGUGUGAAACUCAAAGGAAUUGACGGGGGCCCGCACAAGCGGUGGAGUAUGUGGUUUAAUUCGAUGCAACGCGAAGAACCUUACCAAGGCUUGACAUGUCCGGAAUUUCUUGGAAACGAGAAAGUGCCUUCGGGAACCGGAACACAGGUGGUGCAUGGCUGUCGUCAGCUCGUGUCGUGAGAUGUUGGGUUAAGUCCCGCAACGAGCGCAACCCUCGUUUUUAGUUGCCAGCACUUCGGGUGGGCACUCUAGAGAGACUGCCGGUGACAAACCGGAGGAAGGUGGGGAUGACGUCAAGUCAUCAUGCCCCUUACGUCUUGGGCUACACACGUACUACAAUGCUAUGGACAAAGAGCAGCCAGCCAGCGAUGGUGCGCUAAUCUCAUAAACCAUGGCUCAGUUCAGAUCGCAGGCUGCAACUCGCCUGCGUGAAGUAGGAAUCGCUAGUAAUUGCAGGUCAGCAUACUGCAGUGAAUUCGUUCCCGGGCCUUGUACACACCGCCCGUCACACCAUGGAAGUUGGUCAUGCCCGAAGUCGUUACUCCAACCUUUCG